GACGAACGCUGGCGGCGUGCCUAAUACAUGCAAGUCGAACGCAGUGGGGACGGGUGCGUAACACGUGGGUAACCUCCCAUCAGAGGGGAUAACACUUGGAAACAGGUGCUAAACCGAUACUGAUGGAUGGACCCGCGGUGCAUUUUCUAGUUGGUGAGGUAACGGCGCACCAAGGCAACGAUGCCUAGCCGACCGGAGAGGGUGAUCGGCCCCACUGGGACUGAGACACGGCCCAGACUCCUACGGGAGGCAGCAGUAGGGAAUCUUCGGCAAUGGACGAAAGUCUGACCGAGCCAGGCCGCGUGUAUGAAGAAGGCCUUAGGGUUGUAAAGUACUUUCAGCGGGGAGGCGUUACCCGCAGAAGAAGCACCGGCUAACUCCGUGCCAGCAGCCGCGGUAAUAC
rnacentral:rRNA from 1 species